GAACUUUACCCGGCCUUGACAUCCCCUUGACAGUAUCUGUAAGGGAUAUUUCCUUCGGGACAGGGGAGACAGGUGGUGCAUGGUUGUCGUCAGCUCGUGUCGUGAGAUGUUGGGUCAAGUCCCGCAACGAGCGCAACCCCUGCCCCCAGUAGCCAGCAUUUAAGAUGGGCACUCUGGGGGGACUGCCGGGGAUAACCCGGAGGAAGGCGGGGAUGACGUCAAAUCAUCAUGCCCCUUAUGGCCGGGGCUACACACGUGCUACAAUGGCGUAAACAGAGGGAGGCGAGACAGCGAUGUUAAGCGAACCCCAAAAAUAACGUCCCAGUUCGGAUUGCAGCCUGCAACUCGGCUGCAUGAAGCUGGAAUCGCUAGUAAUCGCGGAUCAGAAUGCCGCGGUGAAUACGUUCCCGGGUCUUGUACACACCGCCCGUCACACCAUGGGAGUCGGGAACGCCCGAAGCCGGUGACCGAACCCGAAAGGGGAGGAGCCGUCGAAGGCGGGCCUGGUGACUGGGGUGAAGUCGUAACAAGGUAACCGU
rnacentral:rRNA from 1 species